GGAUUGUGGCUCAGUGGUACAGUGCUUGUCUAGCACAUGUGAGGCCCUGGGUUUGAUCCUCAGCACCA
rnacentral:tRNA from 1 species